GUCGCGCCCCGGCCCCGGCCCCGGCCCCGGGCCGCUGCUGAGGGGGCCGGCCUGGGAACCGAGGCGCGGACGCGGAGAUACAGCUCGGCCGGUCGGGAUGUAGGUCUGUGCGUUCCUAGUGUCUCCGGUUCUCCGGCGUUGGGACAUCUUCCCUAGUAUCCCGGUGUGCGGUGGGCAGAGCUGUUUGGUCUUCUUUCGUAGGGAAGCGCGGAGUGGAAGGAUGACCUUUUUCUUUCUUUUUUUUUUUUUUUUUUUUCAUUUUUCAUUUUUUUAGAUUUUUUUAUUUUUUAUUUUUCAGGGGGAGGUUGCCACUUGGAAGCCACAGUUUGCUGUCUGUCAGUCUGUGUUUGUGCGUACACACACAUGCCUGUGCAAUAGUGUGUCUUACUUUUAGGAACUAAUUUCUAAGGGUAAAGACCUGGAAGGUGAUACUAACGUUUUAAUGCCCUUUAGGAAAAGAAAAAAAAAAAAAAAAAAAAAAAGAAGAAGAAAGAUGUGAUCUGUCACUGGAGAGUUGACUCUGGAAAAAACAAAACAAAAAGCCUUUUCUGAAGAGAAGCUGUCCUCUUCAAAAUGGAGUCCUGAAGUAUAUCUAAAUGAAUAGAAUUUAAAUUCAUGACACUUUGGAUAUGCUCUAGUCGGAGAAGAAAAAAAGAAAAAAACAUAAAAUUUGAGGGACGGAUUACUACAACUUCUCCAGAACUAGAAAAAUCUGCAGCGGUCAUUUGUAUUUCCGUGAGUGUUUUGUUUUGUUUUGUCGAAGUGUUUUAUUUAUGUUGAGUUUGACCCUCGUAUUUACUCUCGAGGGCAGAACUGCGUUUUCCUGCAGGCUGUGCCCCCAUCACCAGGUUCCAUGCCCCAGGCCCUGCCGCACCCAAUUGCUACUCCUGGCGUGUGGAUCACCAAGAUACAGCUUCUGGCACUGUCUGUUCCUGCUGAUGUUCUUUUUAUUUAAUAAAUGUAGUUACCACGAAAUCAGUCUGUAUCUCUUGCAAGAAUACCGCAUCUUAGAACCCAAGAGGCCCAGGGAAUGUUUUUUUUGUGGGACUGCAUGCAUGCACUACGAGUAACCCUGGCGGGUAGUAUUACGUCCCUUCGAACCGUACUGCAUUUCCUAUAGUGGGCAGCAUAGAGCCUGUGGAUCCUGGAAAACCAUGUCCCACAAGUGCCAACAGUCUGACAACGUUCUCUAGUUUGGUGAUAUAAAUAAAAUGUACUUCAUCGUUUUCAAGCAUUAAUAGAAAUCAUUCCUAUAAAAAUUACCAGUGACCAUGGAAAUUGCUGAAAUUCAGUUUGUGUAGUUUACUGUUCUGGUGAGAAAUAUUGACAAGACCUUUUGAUGUGGAAAAAAAAAAAAUGGAAAAGUAAGUGUGGUUUUUAAUAGUAACUGCAAAGCCAGAACAUCAUAAUUGGAGGUUUCUGUUAUUCAAUGUGCAUCUCUGAGUCUUAUGGUCAGUUUUAAUAUUAUUUAGUCAAGAAAUAGUGAUGUUUAAAAGCCCCUCAGUAAACUUAAAAAAAAAAAAAUAAACCAAAUUUCAAAUCAAGCAUGUCAGGUUAUAAAAUUACAACAACUGGAACAGACUUAAUUGAGGAAUUGGUACAGGGAUUUACUGGAGAAAUUUUUGGAUAUUAAGUUACUCAACGGUUUAAAAGAACUGGUUAAACUGGGUAUUGAAUUUUCAUUUUUAUUUCUUUAAUGAUCUUAAGAAAGGUAUUGUUGUUAAGAAGAGAAUGCUUUCACCUCUUGCUGCUCUUGCCUGUGUCUCCUGCUGUACUUUUCUAUGUAAUUUGUCUUAUUUCAGCCUUUGAUUACAAUAUAAUAUCACAGAUAAGGCCUUUUUCCUCAGAUAGUGACUCUGGGAAUAGUAGUAACUAAGCUUUUUUAAAAAAGUGAGGACAUAGUUUAUUCUAAUGCAGAUUAAGGCACUUGUAAAGUUAGAUGUUCUGAAUCUGCAACUAACCGAGAUUGGAGUGAUUUGUCCCUAAGAAUCUGAUAAAUUUCGGGGAAUUUCUUUGUUAUAGUUUCUUUUCAAUAGAUAUUAAAGGCUAUGCUUUGUGCAUAAUCUAGUGGAAUUUGUUUUUAAAAAAAGAUAAUUUUCAGCCAAUGAAGACUUUUUAAUAAGACUUAAGAAAUCAUCUUUUAGCCAAUUACAGUGUUCUUUUGAGAGACAUCCCUGACUGUGCUUUUGACAGGGAGUUGUUCUCAUUAAUUGUUUAGGUCAGUUACCUAAUCUUGAAUUUUUAAGAUUUUUAUGGGUUUAAGGUGCUACAUUUGUGCAUUAUUCAUUUUAUCUAAUUUGAUCACUGAAAAGAACAGUAGGCCCCAAAUAUCCUGUGCUCUUUAUAAAGUGUCACAGUUUAUAGUAGCUUAACACUUGGUUUUUUAUAGCAUUUAAUCACUUGUGAAAACUAUAAGAGCAUAAACAUAAAUACUUAUUUUUACCAGUGCAGAUCACUGAAUAAAUUUUUAUUGAUUGCCUAUUUUGGGCAAAAGGUAGGAGGGAGGAAUUGGGAAAUUGACUUGAGCCUCUAGGAAAUUAGAAUACUCUAGUACUACAUUUUUCUUAACUGCUAGCUUUAAAAGAUUAUAAUGAACUAUUCAGACCAUAGGGUUCUUAAUUUUUAAUACUUAAGCAGGAUAUUUAGCAUAGAGUUAAAUUCAAAAUUCUAGUUAGAAUAGAGACAUUUAGAUAUAAUUAGGUACAAAUAGCAUUACGUUACUGUUAGGAUCAAUGUAAGAUUGGUGUUACUCCAAGUGCUGUAAAAAUAUUAAAAACAGCAUUUAAAUUACAUUCUUUGAAAACUCAGAUCCACAAAAAAUAUGAUUCCAGUAAUUAACUUUUUAAUUAUGGGAAAAGCAAAGGAGUGUAAAAAAUAUACUACUGAGCAAACGAACAGGAAUUGUUUUAAUGAAAUUUGAUUUUCUGUUUCAAUUUUUUGGUACAUUGACUCUUCUGACAUUGCACUUUGCUAUUAAUUUAAAAAAAUUAAACUCCAAAGACACAUUAAUUCAGUAUUUAAUGCAGAUUUAAUUCUUGACUAGCUGUAAAGCUUAAAGAGUUGGCAGUCUUGUUGGUGAAACAAUAAAAUAGGAAUUAAGCCAAAAUGCAAAACUAUGUAAUAAUUAGGUUUCAUAAAUAUAUAUGCAGGUUUUCUUUUGUAGCUAUAUGAAUCAGAGUAGUAGUGACUUAAUAGUUUAUUUAGUUUUUUUUCUCUGAAAAUAUGCCACCAACUACAUUUCAAAAUUGCAAGUCAACCAAGGCCAGUAUAAAUUCUAGUAUAUAGAAUUUAAAAAUAGUCUAAAAAAAUAAAAAUAGUCUAGAAUAAUCUGUGAUAAUGCACUUGAGAAAUACUUAUAAUCUGUUCUUUGGGGGUAUAAAAUAACUGACUUACUAUUUUAGGGGUAACUACAAUGCUUGCAGGUACUUUAAACAAAGAUGAAAAUUUUAAGAGUGUUGUACUAUAUCUUAUAACCAAAUUUCCUUCUUAUUAAUAAUAGUUGUAUUAAGCAGUUAGCCAUCAGUCAUUAUUGAUAGCCUAAAUAAGUAUAAGUGUAGGUCCUGUUCUAACAUCUAGUAAUUUUAAGUACAUUGAAAGAUAGAUUGCCUCGCGGUUAACUGGGGGUUAAACGAUGUCCUCUUCUUUUGGAAACUGAGAAGAAGCUUCCCACUCUUUAGGAAAUGCAGGAAUUUGCUCUCUUCCCACUGAAUUAAAUCCGUCUUUGACAUGUCAUUUGCAAACCUCAAUAGUUUUUCUACCCCAUUAAAGUUGGGGCCACCAAAAAUAGUAAUGAUAUCAGACUGCACCACUCUGCAUGGGCUUGUGCUCACUAUAGAUACUCUCCUCCCUACCUUAUCCUUGUUCUCAAUGAUAGUUUUUAAAGAAACUUGGAAUAUUACUCUUAGUAUAUUCCUAAACCAGGUAAGAGAGAGUUAACUUGUGGUCUAUAUAUGGUGUUCAGAGAGUCCACUAACCCAAUGAAACAAUGUGUUUAUUCAGUUCUUCUAGGGAAAGGGUCUCAGCAGGCUUGGGCAUCUUAAAGGGCCCUGUGAUCCCAAAAAGCUAAACUUAUAUUUGCUAAGGACAAGUAAUCAGUUUAGAGGAUCACCUCAGGCACUGCUUUUUAUUUUGUGUGGGAGCCUCAAGGGAAAGCCAUUUUGAAACAUUAGUUAAGGAAUACCAUUAUAGUUCAUCAAAUUAUAAAAAUUAGAGCAAAUGAGGGGUGCUUGAGUUGGCUCAGGAGGUUGAAUGUCUGACUCUUGAUCUAGGCUCAGGGUCAUGAGUUCUGCUCUACAUUGGGCUUCACGCUAGGUGUAGAGCCUACUUUAAAAAAAAAUUACAGCAAACAAGCAAAUGUUUCUAAAAAAACUAGAUUUUUAAAUGACGUGUAAUUAAAUGCACUUAACCACCUUUCUUCAUUCCUUGCCAAUGAACAUCCUCUACUGAAAAUUUAUAGAUAAGAAAUUAAGUCAAUUCAAAAUGGGCCUCAAAUAUAAUUCUUCAACUAACUAAUAGGGAAUGUCUAAGGAUAUAUAUGCAUUUAUUAUAAUUGCACGCAUAGGAGUGUGUGCUUUGUGUUCCUGGGUGACAUUGAUCAGAAUGUUUAUAAUGGCCUGGCCAGGUCACACUGCAAUAAUCUUCCUGUUCUCCACUGUGCUUACUUGGUCUAUUCCUCUUUGCCGCAGUUUCUGAGGAAUGUGCCUAGGAGUAGGCCCAGACCUUGCUUUUGUAGAGAUCUGUCAACAGGGGUACUUUAUCUCACAGCAGGUUCUUGCAGCUUAUCUGUGGGCUCAGUGUAUGAUAAUUGGAACUUCAAGGAUACUAGUCUGACUGCAGUUCAUCACAACCUUUUUUAAAAAUGCUAAACUACUUGAGUAGCAUAUUCUGAAUUGUUCAAUGGAUAUUAGAAAUAUAUUAUUUCUCUGCCCUUUUUUGUUUAUAGAUCUUUAUAUGCAUAAUUCUUGUUAUUUAAAUCGAAUUCCCUGCAUCAUCUGUGAGGGUGGGGGAAGGGUACCAUCUCAUCAUCUUUUAUAUCUACAUUAACAGUAUGAUUUUGGCCCACUCCCUACUGAACCAAAGGGAAAGGGCAUAUUUGAGAGAAAACAUGUGCUUUACUCAGACUCCAAUAAUUAGGCUGAUGCACUUGAUUUAUGUUACACAUUGAGCUCAUUCUUAAAAGGUAAACAUUUUACAGUGUGCCUCCUGGCUCACAAAUCAGUGCUUUUUUUUUUUUUUUUUCUACUAAACACUCCUUCUGUCUUGCUAAUAAAAUCCAAUUUCCAGAGUCAUAGUUAGUUGCUAAGCAAAUAUGCAUAAAACCAUAAAUUUAUCUGAAUCAUUUAUUAUUUAAAGAGUAGUAUAUAAAAGUUUAAACAGAAGUCAUUGAUCAGUGAAAGUGACAGAAAAUAAGCAAAAUAAAAAUAGAAUUAUGGUAGAAUAAGCUAAAAGACCUUACUUUAGGGAAAACUGAGCUCAAAAAUGAGGUGUGGGGCUUCUUAGGCAAUACUUUAUCUUAAAUUAGAAUCUAUAGGAAUCCCCUUAUCACUUAUUCUUAGAUUUUCUUUGCCAAUGUGCGCUACUUGUUUAUUAACCAGGUAUAACAUUUGAAAUGAGUCUUUUAAGACUACAACUUCUAUAACAUAUUUAUAAAUGUCACUGCUACAUAUGGACUAACAGUUUUAACCUUAUUGCAAUACCUUGUACAAUUUUUGUAACUGCUAAAGGCCCUAUAAAAGGCUAACAGCCCAUGUAAAUAGUUCUCAAUCUGGUACAGAUUGGCAAAUUCUCUCUGACAUAGCUUGAAUUGCCAGGAAUGUUGUGACAUCAUUCCUUGCCAAUGAACAUACAUCCUUUCUUUGCUGGUGAAGGUGAAAUCUGAGCCAAGUCAUUCUGUAGGACCUAGUACAAUGGCCAUCCUCUGAGCAGAUUUAGAGAAGCAGUCUUAUUGCUCUCUUAUCUUAAUAAUUUGUUAUCUUUCUGAGAUUGUGUAUAACCUCACUUGGAAUGCUAUUUCCUUAAACCAUUGUGCUUCACAGAUGUGAAUAUUUCCCACUGGGAAAUGUUGGAAGAUACAAAGCCAGGCCAAAUGUGUAUGACCAUGAGUGUGCAUGAGUUUGACAAAUGAAAUACAUAUCUUUAAAAGUAUCAUGCUCUUUUCUUUAAAGUCACAAUUUAAAGCUGGUGGUUUUGGUGUGCCUGGGUGGUUCAGUUGAUUAAAUGUCUGACUCUUGA